UACGGGGGGGCAAGCGUUGUUCGGAAUUACUGGGCGUAAAGGGCUCGUAGGUGGCCAACUAAGUCAGACGUGAAAUCCCUCGGCUUAACCGGGGAACUGCGUCUGAUACUGGAUGGCUGGAGUUUGGGAGAGGAUGCGGAAUUCCAGGUGUAGCGGAUGAAAUGCGUAGAUAUCUGGAGGAACACCGGUGGCGAAGGCGGCAUCCUGGACCAACACUGACGCUGGAGGAGCGAAAGCCAGGGAGCAAACGGG
rnacentral:rRNA from 1 species